AACCGCCGCAUACGGAACCGUAUGUGCGGUGGUGUAAGAGGACGGCGGCUGCAAAGCCGCCUCCUACUCGAU
rnacentral:misc_RNA from 1 species